rnacentral:lncRNA from 1 species
UCCUCAGUAUCCGAGGCAUAUAUGCAAACUACAAAAAAACUAUUUAUUCUUAACUGUGAUGACAGUUACUUAUUCCUUACUUGCUCCAAUAGGGUUUUCUCAUCAGACUUAGGCAAACAAAAUUGGCAUGAAGCUUAAAUCUCACUUUUUUUAGUGACCUACGAGCAAAGAUUCAACAAACCACACCAUCUUUCCAUAACCCCGAAAGAAACAUAACAUUAGGUUGUUCGAAUCCGUAGCAAGAUCAAGCCGUUUGCCCUACACUGCCUACCAACAAUCACAUAGUUUUUUUAGUCUAUGACCUCUACAGAACAUGUCGGAGCAAUCUUUCCAUGGAUACUCAUAAUAACUAGAUUAUGCACCCAUUGCUCCUGAAAGAUAAGGAACUUUCUAUCUUCAAAGAUAAUCGAUCGACAAAUCAACAAUUGGGUCGGAAAUCGGACCUGCUUGUUGACCUCGACGCCGAUAGCGCGCUUGGUGACGUUCCAGACCUUGCCGGUGCGCCCGUGAUAGAACUUGUGGGGCAUGCCCUUGUGGACGGCGCCGUUCACCUUGAUGUCGACGUAGUCGCCGAUCCUGUAGGUGCGCAGGUACGUCGUCAGAGGGAUGUACCCCUUCUUCCGGAAGGGACGGGAGAAGAGAUCUCUGGUGCGAGAACGAAGACCAUGACCCGCCGGCAUCCUCUCCGCCGCCUGUCUAUACGACCUCCGCUUGCCAACAAAACACGAGUCAGACUACAACUUAGGGUUUUUCCGUGGUGUUAUAUACUUAAUAGUUAUAGUCAAGUGUAGUUGGGCCUAAUGGAUUACACGGUCGGCCCAUAUAAUAUCAUCAUGGGCUGAUCCAUGUGAAAUUACAUAAAAUUCAGAUAACUGAACAUCCAAAAUUCAAAAGAUUAUAUAUAUAUAUAUAUAUAUAUAUAUAUAUAUAUAUAUAUAUAUAUAUAUAUAUAUAUAUAUAUAUAUAAGGGUUGCAUUCUGUUUCGCGGGGAGAGACUGACAGAGAGAGAGAGAGAACGAUGGAGUCAUGGGACUUGUCGGCGGUAGAGGGCGACGACGUCGACUUCAUCGAAUACUUCUAAAGCCUUGAGCCAUCGCAGACGCCGAUCCGGACAACCGUCGUCGCUCGUGCCGCCCCCGCUCGGCAUCGUCUUCUUUAACUCCUUCGAGGACGACUUCGACGAUUCCGACACCUGAUGGCGUGGUCGGAACGCCGGCAUGUGGUUUCGGCAUCUCUGCCUCACAAACCAGGGUUUGGUGGAUGUGCUGCUGCUAGUGUUCAUUCUUGUUUCUCUUCUUUGGCAAAGAUUAGAUUGGUCUUUAGCUUGGCAAAUAGUUCUGCAUCGGUUGAUUCGCGGAGGGAGGAGGUACAUCGAUGGUGUCUGAGCGAUCUUGCGUAGUGCGCCAUCGAACGAAACAAUCGUGAUCGGUAUAUUGCUCUCCGAUUCUUGUGGGGUUAGAAUGUUUAAUCUCAAGCAGGAGUCGCUCGCUAUUCCAUUGCCCUGCGCUUAAAGAUGCCUUGGUUUCUGAUGCAUCUCUCUAUUCUUUGCUUAUGGGAAAGACCCUUCAUACCUAGAAUUUUUGGCUUGUCAUUUUUUUGUAGACUUGCUUUAUGACUCAUGUGGAAUCAAGAUCAGAUCGUACUUGUGUCUAGCAUUUGUACUUGCUCUUAUUGUUUGCUUACCUUACCUUUAUUAAUGGAGUCAGUCAUAUUUGUGCACAUUUAUUUGUUAUGCAAAAAUCUUAGAAAUUGAACAAAAUAUAAAAUCACAUUGUAUAGGGCUCACUGAGUCACUUGAAAUCUGCACAAGUCGUCAUGUGACCAAAGAAGAAGAAGAAGAAGAAGUAUCAGCACUGACUCACAUCAAUCAAAAGGCAGCUCCAUUGUCAUGACUCCCGAGAAGGAUUCAAAAACUUUCGGCAUUCCCCGUGUUACGGCAUUGAUUGCAUCGCCAUCCAGCGAUGUACAAUGAUCAUGUCCAUCCCCACCUCCCGCGUGUCGGCAUCUUGGAGAAAGUUGCGGCCCCUCACAGUCAAACGGUCAAACCAGCGUCAUCCAAUCAUAGCG